CAAUAGCGUAUAUUAAAGUUGUUGCAGUUAAAAAGCUCGUAGUUAGAUUUGUGGCGUACGGUGUGUUCCGGGCACUUGUUGUCUGAGUAACCUGCUGUUGCCAUCCUUGGGUGGAACCUGUGUGGCAUUAGGUUGUCGUGCAGGGGAUGCCCAUCAUUUACUGUGAAAAAAUUAGAGUGUUCAGAGCAGGCUUAUGCCGUUGAAUAUAUUAGCAUGGAAUAAUGAGAUAGGACUUUCUUGCUAUUUUGUUGGUUUGCGCAAAGAGGUAAUGAUUAAUAGGGACAGUUGGGGGUAUUCGUAUUCCAUCGUCAGAGGUGAAAUUCUUGGAUUUUUGGAAGACGAACUACUGCGAAAGCAUUUACCAAGGAUGUUUUCAUUAA
rnacentral:rRNA from 1 species